rnacentral:rRNA from 1 species
UAACACAUGCAAGUCGAGGGGCAUCAGGAAGAAAGCUUGCUUUCUUUGCUGGCGACCGGCGCACGGGUGAGUAACACGUAUCCAACCUGCCCUUUACUCGGGGAUAGCCUUUCGAAAGAAAGAUUAAUACCCGAUGGCAUAAUGAUUCCGCAUGGUUUCAUUAUUAAAGGAUUCCGGUAAAGGAUGGGGAUGCGUUCCAUUAGGUUGUUGGUGAGGUAACGGCUCACCAAGCCUUCGAUGGAUAGGGGUUCUGAGAGGAAGGUCCCCCACAUUGGAACUGAGACACGGUCCAAACUCCUACGGGAGGCAGCAGUGAGGAAUAUUGGUCAAUGGGCGCUAGCCUGAACCAGCCAAGUAGCGUGAAGGAUGAAGGCUCUAUGGGUCGUAAACUUCUUUUAUAUAAGAAUAAAGUGCAGUAUGUAUACUGUUUUGUAUGUAUUAUAUGAAUAAGGAUCGGCUAACUCCGUGCCAGCAGCCGCGGUAAUACGGAGGAUCCGAGCGUUAUCCGGAUUUAUUGGGUUUAAAGGGAGCGUAGGUGGACUGGUAAGUCAGUUGUGAAAGUUUGCGGCUCAACCGUAAAAUUGCAGUUGAUACUGUCAGUCUUGAGUACAGUAGAGGUGGGCGGAAUUCGUGGUGUAGCGGUGAAAUGCUUAGAUAUCACGAAGAACUCCGAUUGCGAAGGCAGCUCACUGGACUGCAACUGACACUGAUGCUCGAAAGUGUGGGUAUCAAACAGGAUUAGAUACCCUGGUAGUCCACACAGUAAACGAUGAAUACUCGCUGUUUGCGAUAUACAGUAAGCGGCCAAGCGAAAGCAUUAAGUAUUCCACCUGGGGAGUACGCCGGCAACGGUGAAACUCAAAGGAAUUGACGGGGGCCCGCACAAGCGGAGGAACAUGUGGUUUAAUUCGAUGAUACGCGAGGAACCUUACCCGGGCUUAAAUUGCAGUGGAAUGAUGUGGAAACAUGUCAGUGAGCAAUCACCGCUGUGAAGGUGCUGCAUGGUUGUCGUCAGCUCGUGCCGUGAGGUGUCGGCUUAAGUGCCAUAACGAGCGCAACCCUUAUCUUUAGUUACUAACAGGUUAUGCUGAGGACUCUAGAGAGACUGCCGUCGUAAGAUGUGAGGAAGGUGGGGAUGACGUCAAAUCAGCACGGCCCUUACGUCCGGGGCUACACACGUGUUACAAUGGGGGGUACAGAAGGCAGCUAGCGGGUGACCGUAUGCUAAUCCCAAAAGCCUCUCUCAGUUCGGAUCGAAGUCUGCAACCCGACUUCGUGAAGCUGGAUUCGCUAGUAAUCGCGCAUCAGCCACGGCGCGGUGAAUACGUUCCCGGGCCUUGUACACACCGCCCGUCAAGCCAUGAAAGCCGGGGGUACCUGAAGUGCGUAACCGCAAGGAGCGCCCUAGGGUAAAACUGGUGAUUGGGGCUAAGUCA